rnacentral:tRNA from 2 species
GCGGGGUGGAGCAGUUCGGUAGCUCGUCGGGCUCAUAACCCGAAGGUCGCAGGUUCAAAUCCUGCCCCCGC